AACGAACGCUGGCGGCAGGCCUAACACAUGCAAGUCGAGCGCCCCGCAAGGGGAGCGGCGGACGGGUGAGUAACGCGUGGGAACGUACCCUUUGCUACGGAAUAGCCUCGGGAAACUGGGAGUAAUACCGUAUGUGCCCUUCGGGGGAAAGAUUUAUCGGCAAAGGAUCGGCCCGCGUUGGAUUAGGUAGUUGGUGGGGUAAUGGCCUACCAAGCCGACGAUCCAUAGCUGGUUUGAGAGGAUGAUCAGCCACACUGGGACUGAGACACGGCCCAGACUCCUACGGGAGGCAGCAGUGGGGAAUCUUAGACAAUGGGCGCAAGCCUGAUCUAGCCAUGCCGCGUGAGCGAUGAAGGCCUUAGGGUUGUAAAGCUCUUUCAGUGGGGAAGAUAAUGACUGUACCCACAGAAGAAGCCCCGGCUAACUCCGUGCCAGCCGCCGCCGUAACAC
rnacentral:rRNA from 1 species